UGACUGUGGCUCACUGCUUUGUAAUGAUAUUACAGAUGGUGUGUUUAUUACACACCUUGCUGAGGUACUUCUAUGCUGCGAUUGAGAUCGAUUUCGAAUAUUGCCAGAAGAUGAGGCUUGGUCUAGCAGAGAAUUCUUCUCCAACACUUCCUCAUCUUGAGUCUGUUUGUGUUGUUCUAUUACUAGUCAAUCACUAAUAGAGAACUAAUAUAUCAAAGUUAUCUCACCUCUGGCAAUGCUGUUGAAAUAUCUUUGGCUUAGUGCAUUUGAUUGAUUGUUAUGUGGA
rnacentral:sRNA from 2 species